AUUUAUAAUUUGUCUAUUUUUAAUUCCGUGCAAACGUUAAUUUUUUAAUACCAAAAAAAUGGGAGUUACAGUAGGUCAUUUCGAGUAACGUUAUUUGACACGUCGGUCAUAUUAUCGUGGUGGACAAACAAAGACUAUUUCAUUUGUGUAUAGAGAAUUUAUUCUUUCGAGUGCUUUUUUGAUUGAAGUGAAUAAUAAAUGAAUAUCUUUUGCCAAAAAAAAAACGAAAAUAGAACACCAAUAUAACCAUAAUUUUAAUGUAAAUAAUGCAAUAAUUGUUGCUCGUGACAAUAUAGUGGCUGGUUAUGACGUCAUGCCAAAUUGACCUAUUAAUUAUAAAUAAUCAUGUAGAUUUAUGGUAUUAUUUCAAUCACACUGUAUUUUGAAUUUCAAAUGAUUAAAUCUUGAAAAUGAAAUCUGCAUUAGUAUUGGAUAAUUGAUGUGAAUUGAAAUGAUCAGAUGUGUAUGAAGUUGUGCAAUUUAAAUAGUAUUUAUUUGUCUAUUAGCUAUUUACAUUUUUGUGCAUUUAAAAGUUAUUAUUUGUUGCGAAUUGUGCUGUCGUGUUUACUUACUCAAUAUGAGUAAACGAGUAAAAGCCUGCUAUGUACCAGGAUGCACGAAUAAGCAAGCGAUAAGACAUUCCAUCCUACAAAUGAAGACGUUUGCAGAAUUUGGUUGUACAGAAUAAAUAAUCCCAAGUUAAUGCUUACAGUAUUAUCAUCACAUAGAAUAUGUGACAUUCAUUUUGAACCAAUUUGUAGAAACCCCAAUGGUAGGUUAAAAAAACUUUCACUGCCAACUCUACAUUUAUCUGGUACUAUGACAAUAAACUUCUUAUAAAUCCUAGAGAAAAGUUAUGCAGAGGAAAAGAAUUGCUAUUUCCUCCAAUAGUCAAUGUCCCAAUUUAUAAAUCAUUCAAUAGAUGCUCAAAAUAUACAGGAUCAGAUCUUGUCACUCCUUAUGUGGCAGGUUCAGUAGCGAAGAAAUUAUUUAAAAGUCUCAAAUGCCACUUGUGUAAAAAUAUAAUAUUGUCAAACGAAUUAAUUAAGGCAAAUUCAUCAAUAUAUUCUAGGGAACAUAAAAAAAUGUUUUAUGUGCGCCUUCAGCAAAAUUCUGUGAUAUUUUUAAAAGUUUUUCUGAUAAAAUCUUGGAAAGAUUGCCCCAGUUAAUCAAUUCGUUAGGCAUAAAGAAACAAAUAUUUCGUUUGGAGAAUUUUACAGACAUUUCCUCAAUAUUUUGUUCAGAUAAAAGGAUUAUGUAAAUAUGUUUGUUAAUAUUAAUUUUAACAUAUGCAUCUUUCAUUACAAAGGUAUUAUUAAUAAAAUUUUGAAGGACAAAGAUCAACAAUAUAAAGAAUCCGAUGUAGUGAUGAAUAUGGCAUAUGUAAAAUAUAGGGAAAGCUGCAAGAAAGACAAUGGUAAUCAUUAAUUAUCCAUGGUUAUAAAAUCAGUUUUUUAUAUACCAUUGUAUGUACCAUGUACAAAUAAACAUUUUUUAAACAGCAUCUCAUUGUUGACAGUCUUAAGUCUGCUAAAAUGUGAAGGAAAAUUUUUUGUUUGUGGAUAUAGUUAUAAAAUGUCAAAAACAAAAUAAAAAUUAUAAUAAUCA